rnacentral:rRNA from 1 species
GAUGAACCGUGCAAACGUUAUUCGGAAUCACUGGGCUUAAAGCGUGCGUAGGCGGCUAAGAAAGUUGGGUGUGAAAUCCCUCGGCUCAACCGAGGAAUUGCGCUCAAAACUACUUAGCUUGAGGGAGUUAGAGGUGAGCGGAACUAAUGGUGGAGCGGUGAAAUGCGUUGAUAUCAUUAGGAACACCGGUGGCGAAAGCGGCUCACUGGGACUCUUCUGACGCUGAGGCACGAAAGCUAGGGUAGCGAACGGG